ACGUUGGGCACGUCAAACGACGCAACUCAAACGGACAGUAUGAAAAGUUUUUCUAAGAAAAUGGCAUCUGAUGUACAUGUUCUUGUGGAAGGCGGCCUGGAUACAUCUGUAAAAGAUUCACAAUUGGCUCCAAAUGAGACAGAGAAGACGGGAAACAAUACAAAGACCUCCGAUCAAUCGACAACAACACCAUCAGUUGCGCCAACUACACCGCCAAAGAUAGAGGAUUCUCUCAAAAUAUUACGGGAAGGUGGUCCUGGAACAUCCAACAAAAGACCGGACUCAGUUCCUGCAAGGGAACAGAAGUUAGGGAAUUUGACGAUCAUUUCAAAUCCUUUAACAAAAAUGACUUCGAACAUGUCGAGCGCUGUAUCCCAGGCAGAGAAUUCAAAAAAACUUGCAUCUGAUUUGCAUAUACUAACAGAGGGUCAUCUAGAUACUUCUAUCAAGCGACCGGAGAGUAAAAGCGGUGUUCAAAAUUCCAAUUCUGUGUCACAAACAAAUACUGCACGGAAGGCCUUAUCGCCGUUUAAUGAAACGGGUACAGAACCUCGAAAAUGAGAUUCAGAUUAAAGUUUCUACUUGGCUUUAUUUCAAUGUUGUAGUGAUGUCCGAUUUCAAGAAACAACAUGCAUCUAUCGAUGUGUUCUAUUUACAUUUGUUAAAAGGCAACUACUAAAAAAAUUGAAAUGUUGAAAUAAGUAUUUAUUGUUUUAACGUAAUAAAUUGAAUGAAAUG
rnacentral:misc_RNA from 1 species